rnacentral:lncRNA from 1 species
GGUAAGAUCAACCUAUUAUAGGUUGGCUUCUAUGUUCGCAAGCAGAGGUGAAAGAUGGAGUGCAGUGUUAAUGUCCGGACAAGUAUUCAGUGAAUGCUGCAUGAAGGUCAUGAAAGAGGAGAGCAUCAAAGCUACGACACACGUUGUAACAGUGUUUGACCGUCAUAGACAAAAUUUCAGCGUCCAGGAAACAAUGGGCAACA